rnacentral:rRNA from 1 species
AUACGGAGGGAGCAAGCGUUAUUCGGAAUCACUGGGCGUAAAGGACGCGUAGGCGGGUUUGUAAGUCAGGUGUGAAAUCCUACAGCUCAACUGUAGAACUGCACUUGAAACUACAGACCUAGAGUAUGGAAGGGGCAGAUGGAAUUAGUGGUGUAGGGGUAAAAUCCGUAGAUAUCACUAGGAAUACCGAAAGCGAAGGCGAUCUGCUGGGACAUUACUGACGCUGAGGCGUGAAAGCGUGGGGAGCAAACAGCAUUAGAUACCCUAGUAGUCC